rnacentral:lncRNA from 1 species
UUUUUUAAUUUUUAAGGUUUUAUUCCAAAAUUGAUUUUUAAUGUAAGGUCUAAUUCUUCUUUCCUAAUUUUCUCAUAAAUUUUUUCAUGAAAUAUUAUUUGUUGUUUCUCAUAAUCUAUGUCUUGUGUAUAGUUUAUUUUUAUAUCUUUCUCACUUGUUUCUCCUAUUUCAGUCUGAUUCAUCUUCUUCUUCACUUGAUAUAUCUGAUUCAAUUACUUCAUCUUCACUAGAAAAGUUGUCUGUAUCUAUAUCUUUCUUAACUAUAUCUAUAUCUAUAAAUUCAUCAUUAUCUAACUAGAUUUCUUUUAUUUGUUUUUGUCUAGGUUCUGUGCAUUCUGUGGAUAUGUGUCCUAUUUUUCCACAAUUAUAACAUUUACAUUUUUU